GACACUAUGUGUUGUUGGGUAGGGGAGCGUUCUGUAAGCCUGUGAAGGUGUGUCGUGAGGCAUGCUGGAGGUAUCAGAAGUGCGAAUGCUGACAUAAGUAACGAUAAAGCGGGUGAAAAGCCCGCUCGCCGGAAGACCAAGGGUUCCUGUCCAACGUUAAUCGGGGCAGGGUGAGUCGACCCCUAAGGCGAGGCCGAAAGGCGUAGUCGAUGGGAAACGGGUUAAUAUUCCCGUACUUGGUGUUACUGCGAAGGGGGGACGGAGAAGGCUAUGUUGGCCGGGCGACGGUUGUCCCGGUUUAAGCGUGUAGGUGUGUGUUCCAGGUAAAUCCGGUUCACUUUAACACUGAGGCGUGACGACGAGGCACUACGGUGCUGAAGCAACAAAUGCCCUGCUUCCAGGAAAAGCCUCUAAGCAUCAGGUAACAUCAAAUCGUACCCCAAACCGACACAGGUGGUCAGGUAGAGAAUACCAAGGCGCUUGAGAGAACUCGGGUGAAGGAACUAGGCAAAAUGGUGCCGUAACUUCGGGAGAAGGCACGCUGACACGUAGGUGAAGUGAUUUACUCAUGGAGCUGAAGUCAGUCGAAGAUACCAGCUGGCUGCAACUGUUUAUUAAAAACACAGCACUGUGCAAACACGAAAGUGGACGUAUACGGUGUGACGCCUGCCCGGUGCCGGAAGGUUAAUUGAUGGGGUCAGCGCAAGCGAAGCUCCUGAUCGAAGCCCCGGUAAACGGCGGCCGUAACUAUAACGGUCCUAAGGUAGCGAAAUUCCUUGUCGGGUAAGUUCCGACCUGCACGAAUGGCGUAAUGAUGGCCAGGCUGUCUCCACCCGAGACUCAGUGAAAUUGAACUCGCUGUGAAGAUGCAGUGUACCCGCGGCAAGACGGAAAGACCCCGUGAACCUUUACUAUAGCUUGACACUGAACAUUGAGCCUUGAUGUGUAGGAUAGGUGGGAGGCUUUGAAGUGUGGACGCCAGUCUGCAUGGAGCCGACCUUGAAAUACCACCCUUUAAUGUUUGAUGUUCUAACGUGGACCCGUGAUCCGGGUUGCGGACAGUGUCUGGUGGGUAGUUUGACUGGGGCGGUCUCCUCCUAAAGAGUAACGGAGGAGCACGAAGGUUGGCUAAUCCUGGUCGGACAUCAGGAGGUUAGUGCAAUGGCAUAAGCCAGCUUGACUGCGAGCGUGACGGCGCGAGCAGGUGCGAAAGCAGGUCAUAGUGAUCCGGUGGUUCUGAAUGGAAGGGCCAUCGCUCAACGGAUAAAAGGUACUCCGGGGAUAACAGGCUGAUACCGCCCAAGAGUUCAUAUCGACGGCGGUGUUUGGCACCUCGAUGUCGGCUCAUCACAUCCUGGGGCUGAAGUAGGUCCCAAGGGUAUGGCUGUUCGCCAUUUAAAGUGGUACGCGAGCUGGGUUUAGAACGUCGUGAGACAGUUCGGUCCCUAUCUGCCGUGGGCGCUGGAGAACUGAGGGGGGCUGCUCCUAGUACGAGAGGACCGGAGUGGACGCAUCACUGGUGUUCGGGUUGUCAUGCCAAUGGCACUGCCCGGUAGCUAAAUGCGGAAGAGAUAAGUGCUGAAAGCAUCUAAGCACGAAACUUGCCCCGAGAUGAGUUCUCCCUGAGACUUAAA
rnacentral:rRNA from 1 species